CCUACGGGGGGCAGCAGUGGGGGAUAUUGGACAAUGGGGGGAACCCUGAUCCAGCCAUGCCGCGUGUGUGAAGAAGGCCCUCGGGUUGUAAAGCACUUUCAGUGAGGAAGAACGCCUGGUGGUUAAUACCCAUCAGGAAAGACAUCACUCACAGAAGAAGCACCGGCUAACUCCGUGCCAGCAGCCGCGGUAAUACGGAGGGUGCGAGCGUUAAUCGGAAUUACUGGGCGUAAAGCGCGCGUAGGUGGCUUGAUAAGCCGGUUGUGAAAGCCCCGGGCUCAACCUGGGAACGGCAUCCGGAACUGUCAAGCUAGAGUGCAGGAGAGGAAGGUAGAAUUCCCGGUGUAGCGGUGAAAUGCGUAGAGAUCGGGAGGAAUACCAGUGGCGAAGGCGGCCUUCUGGACUGACACUGACACUGAGGUGCGAAAGCGUGGGUAGCAAACAGGAUUAGAUACCCGUGUAGUC
rnacentral:rRNA from 1 species